GGAGAGUUGGCAGAGUGGUAAUGCAGCGGAUUGCUAAUCCGUCAAGGUAUAAUUUGGUUGCACAAGUUCAAAUCUUGUACUCUCCG
rnacentral:tRNA from 1 species